UACAGAGGUCCCAAGCGUUGUUCGGAUUUACUGGGCGUAAAGGGUGCGUAGGCGGUGGGGUAAGUUUGAGGUGAAAGCUCCGGGCUCAACCCGGAAAAUGCCUUGAAAACUAUCCGGCUAGAGGGUUGGAGGGGAGACUGGAAUUCUCGGUGUAGCAGUGAAAUGCGUAGAUCUCGAGAGGAACACCAGUGGCGAAGGCGGGUCUCUGGACAACACCUGACGGCUGAGGCACGAAAGCCAGGGGAGCAAACGGG
rnacentral:rRNA from 1 species